ensembl:lncRNA
AUCUGGAGAUUGCUCCUUUUGGAGCCCUUCCAUGAGCCCAGGAUACAGCACAAUCCUACAGGGAGAACAUCCAGACAAGGAGACUUUAUACAAGGAUAUAUGCCCUAUCUCCAAUGUAUACAAAUCUUAUCUACAAACAGGGGCAGUUAUGCAAUGAAACGUUGAUUGUUCACACUGAAAGAGAAGCUUCUAGCAACACCUUUAAUGGAAAAAUACAGAGAAAACACAAAAGACCAUUGAUGAAAAUGAUGACUGCAUGAAUUACAGCCUUCAUGAGAAAGCUGGAGAGAUUUGGUGAUGUCUGUAGCUUCUUGCUACAGGUAAGAGACAGCAGAAGAUUGUAAGAAAAUGUGUUCCCAACUGUCCAUCAUCUGGAUUUACUUUCAGUAGGGAUGAAAGUAAAUCAGUGCCUUGGGGAAUCAUUUGUCAUGAACUGUUAUCUAAAGAAGCACGUCCUGCCAGGAUCACCUUAAUACAAAGUAAAGGUCUUAAAAAAUAAAAACAAGUUGAGAGAAAUAUCUUUCAGAGAUCAAAAUGGAAAUGAAAAAGCAGGACAAAGUGUUCUUGAUUGCAUGAGUAAAAAGCUGUCUGAAACAACCUAUAAUGCAAGAUUAGUGUUGCUGAAAUCUCCAAAUCUCAUGCACUUGAAGAGCUGCACAAAAGGACCCCAUGUUGUCAGCUCUUGACACACAGCUGUUACUCUUUAAAUUAGUUGUCAAGUAGAUAUCAAAACGUAGCUGCUUAAAUUAAGAUGCAUGGGACAUACAAAAGACUAACUACAUCUGAUGUGCAUGUAUUGAUAUUGCUAAUUUUCUGCAUGUUACAUAUGUAACGUUUCAAUUGGAGACUUGCUGAGUUUGAAAGCACAUGAAGAUGUACAAUGACAGAAGAAAAAACAACUAGGCAAAAACUCAAAUAGGAGCACCAGUGCUACACACACUACAGCAUACCUAAGAAACAGGUUGCCCCAAAUUACCCAUCAAUCUGAAAGUCAUCCCUGAUCAAGGUGAAAAGUCAGUGAAAAGUUGGAAAAUGUAACUAAGCUACGAGUGACGCAAAUAUUUUGUUUUCAGUUUUGUUCAGUAAAAUGGGAAAUGAUCACAAUCUUCUCCAAGCAUGAGUAAGAUAGCUCUCAAGUGGAAACUAUUGACUUGUCUCUGACAAGUGCACUUUAUCUUUUUUUCAAGGUAAAACUUCAAUGGUGAUUUCAGGUUGGAAUGUGCAGACUGCUCUAUGAAUGACUUGUGGCCGUGAAGAUGAGCCUAUUAACUUGUUUGCACAUCUCAAUGAACUGGGUUUGUCAGAAAACAGAACUGAAUGCUACAUCUUUUAAUAUUUCUGACAAAACAAGGACAGAGCUAAAGACAGUAGUUUAUAAAACAUAUAGGAAAGAGGGGCAAAAACCUACAAAUACUAGAUUACUCUCUUAAUAUAUACUGAAAGUUCAACCAAGCAUACCUAUUGAUAUUGAUGUGUAUACACAUGUGUACCAAUAACUAACAGCACUGCCUGAAUUUGGGCACGUAGUUUAAUGAAUCCCAUUCUGACAGUGAAAAACUGAGACUGAAUACACAAAAAAAAUUUUGCCACUUCACUACAAUGAGGGGGGGGAAAAAAGUGGUUGAACAGUCAUGUGAUGACAAACUCAAGUUCUAAUUCAAGAAAGCAUAGCUUAGAAACUUUUUGUGGUGAAGGAAUGAGUGUAGUCUG